ensembl:lncRNA
UCAGAGAUGGAAGUGGAUCAACCCACUCAAAACUAGAAACCAAACUCCUAGGUUGCACUAUGGUUUCCACAUCCGUUGACAAGCGGACCUAGACAUCAUGACCACACCACUCGAUAUGGACACAUGGCAACCAACCGAGGACCAAACCUGCAUAAGGUGCGCAACUCAAGGGAUUUUGCCUGAUCCUACAUCGAGUUUAAGAACAAAAAUUAAAUAUAAACUAUCGCGUCUAUAUGGUUGUUGAAAAGGCUUGUGUGUAGCCUACUGGUUAAAUUUGUGUCUUUACGCACGAAUUAAGCCACAAAAACGCACGGAAUUUGCUGAAAUGCAUUUUGUACAUAUAUGCACGAAUUGAUUGUGAGACUGUGUUGUCAUAUAUAAGUAGCCUGUCCUACAGUAUUGGGACAAAUAUACCUCGUCCAAAGUCUUGGCUAGUUUAUUGACUCACUAAAGUGGUUUGUUUUCGAACUUUACUAUGUGGGAGCGAAUCUACUUUUACGCAUCAUUGAUUUGAUGCGUUUUCGUAAUUGUUAGUCUGGUCCAUUAAUUAUGUCAGUACACUGAAGCUGAUUUAUUAGAAAUUGCUUCACUAAUUCAGUCAUUCAUUGAUGGUUUGAUUGUCUGAUUGAUUAAUACACUUCGUUGACAUAUUAAACUACAGGGGCAGCCAUGACAGGAAGGUUGAUGCUUGGCAUUGUUGCGUCACAAUACAAAAUGCCUCUGAUGACGUAAUGAUCAAACACCAAGCUGCCACUGGUGAAAUGACGGAUCAUUAGCUGAUUGAACUACAAGGUGAACGAAUUUAAUGGUGCCGAAAGCCACUUCCUAUUCCAAGUAUUCAAGACUAGAAGGAGCAUUCUGAUUAGAAUACUGCAGACCAGUGAAUGAUGAAUAGGAGGCCCAACCUGAAUGGGUCUGGAGGACCAAGGUCCAUCGGUGUUCCGCUACUCUGUCCUUCUAACAGAGUGCUGCUGGAGAGAGAAGAGGUCAGCCAGGCCCCAGUGAUGGCCUCCUCUUUCAGGCCCUCAGCGUUCCCCUCCCUGCAUGUUGUACCUCAUGCUCCCCCUCCUGACGACGUCAGGCCCAAGAGGCCCACAGCUGCCCACAGAAAGAGGAGAGACCUCCAGUCCCUGGUUCCUGUCCAGGAUGGAUGUCGUGAGUCUCCCGGUUGGUUUAACAGCAGCAGCUCCCAGCUACCUGCCAAAACCAACAGACGCAGGCGCAACAAGGAGCUUUCCUUCACUGAGGUUCUGAAGAACUACAAGCUUCUGCCUGAUUCCCGGCCCAGCAGCCCAGAGAGCCUGUACCAGCCUGAGUCAAUGAUACCUAGAAUCUCUGUCAGCAUCACUAGACCUGAGGGGAGGCCUAGCAACCCUCAACGCCCCACUAGACGGCCUGUUAGCCCCGUAGGCCUGGUCCAACCUGAUGUACAGCCUUCCAGACCUGAGGGGAGGCCUAGCAACCCUCGGCAACCCAGACGGCCUGUUAGACCAGUGGGCCUGGUCCAGCCUGAUGUACAGCCUUCCAGACCUGAGGGGAGGCCUAGCAACCCUCUGGGCCCCACUAGACGGCCUGUUAGACCAGUGGGCCUAGUCCAACCUGAUGUACAGCCAUCCAGACCUGAGGGGAGGCCUAGCAACCCUCUGGGCCCCACUAGACAUGGCCUGUUAGACCAGUCAGCCUGGUCCAGCCUGAUGUUCAGCCUUCCAGACCUGAGGGAAGGCCUAGCAACCCUCGGAGCACCACUAGGAGAAAAGUUAAGCCCAGUAAUCCUGUGUGUUCCAUUAUGCUCGAGUCCCAACCUACCAGUCCUGUGAGCAUCACUACCAGCACUGUGGAUGUAGUCCAGCCUGAGUCCCGUCCUACCUGCCCUCUGACCCUGGAGGAGCCGGCCCUUUCAGAGUCAUGCAGCUUCAGCAACAAUGUGUUUGUUCUCUCCAUGCCGAAAGCUGCCCAGCCAGAGGAGGCUGCCAGAGGGAGCAGCAGCCCACCCAGGGACAUCAUCAGGCCUGAGGCCUUCGUCCAGACAGGACCCCUGCUGGCCAGGAGAGCCCAGAGGGAUGCUCCUACUCCAAAGGUCCCCAAACCCCCGGUGGCCCCCCGGCCCAAACUGCUGCCCUCCCUGGGCCAGGGCAACGUGUCCCUGGUCAGUGCCAACGCCUGGGAUGAAAGGACCAAGAAGAAGAGAAAGAAAGGAGUCAGAGUUCAGAGGUCUAGCCUGGGUCUGAGGCAUAUCCCCCGUGACCUAGAGCUGGCCAUGAUGAGACCCCGUCUGGUCAAGUCGGCCGUUCCCUCCCAGCAGCCCUACCAGCCGUGGGACGACGAGGACGAGGUGGACAUCUACGCCCUGAGGCGAACAGCCUACAUGUGUCCCAUGUACGACCAGGAGGAGAGCAGCGUCAGGGGCAACAAGAGGGUGGCAGUGGAGGCCCUGGACAACAUUCCUUUCAGAAGGAAGAUCACCUUGUGUUAUUUCAUGGGGGGUCGCAGGGUCAUGCUGCCAAAAGACUACUAACCUCACCCCCCUCAAUUUCCACAACAACCUCCCUUUGUCCCAGACAGCGAAGAACAGGAGACACACAGAGAGACACCAACAGGGCCAUCAGAGGGACUGAGACCCUCUCAGUUGAGGUUAGGAAUGUCAGCUACUAAAAGGCUUCUAUAGACCAUCUCUGUAGCAAGAGAACCUCCAGUGAUCAGACUGAGAUGUCCUCUGUCUCCCCUCCCCUCACCACUCCUCCCCCAAGAUGACCCCUUCACCCUGCCUCCCCUCACCACUCCUCCCCCAAGAGGACCCCUUCACCCUGCCUCCCCUCACCUCUUCUCCCCCUCGAGGACUACAGUCUCUUAUCUCUAAACCAGUGUUGGGGUCAGUUCAAUGUCAAUACAGUCAAUUCAGGAAGUAAACUGACAUUUUCUCAGAGUGGUAUUGAGGAAAAUUGGAAUUGGACUUUCAGUUUACUUCCUGAAAUGUAAAGGAAUUGACCCCAACCCUGAUCUAAAUAAACUACUAGAUCUCUAUGAUGACAGAGUCUCAGACAGAAAGACAAUAAUCCUGUUACUGUCCAGGACCU